rnacentral:tRNA from 3 species
GCCGGCUUAGCUCAUCCGGUAGAGCAACGGUUUUGUAAACCGUAGGUGGUCGGUUCGAGUCCGACAGCCGGCUCCA